AUUGAACGCUGGCGGCAGGCCUAACACAUGCAAGUCGAGCGGAGCGGCGGACGGGUGAGUAAUGCCUAGGAAUCUGCCUGGUAGUGGGGGAUAACGUCCGGUAACGGGCGCUAAUACCGCAUACUAUCAGAUGAGCCUAGGGAGGAUUAGCUCGUUGGUGGGGUAAAGGCCUACCAAGGCGACGAUCCGUAACUGGUCUGAGAGGAUGAUCAGUCACACUGGAACUGAGACACGGUCCAGACUCCUACGGGAGGCAGCAGUGGGGAAUAUUGCGCAAUGGGCGCAAGCCUGAUACAGCCAUGCCGCGUGUAUGAAGAAGGCCUUCGGGUUGUAAAGUACUGUAAGUAGGGAGGCGUUACCGACAGAGGAAGCACCGGCUAACUCCGUGCCAGCAGCCGCGGUAAUAC
rnacentral:rRNA from 1 species